UACGGAGGGGGCUAGCGUUGUUCGGAAUUACUGGGCGUAAAGCGUACGUAGGCGGCUUUGUAAGUUAGAGGUGAAAGCCUGGAGCUCAACUCCAGAACUGCCUUUAAGACUGCAUCGCUUGAAUCCAGGAGAGGUGAGUGGAAUUCCGAGUGUAGAGGUGAAUUCGUAGAUAUUCGGAAGAACACCAGUGGCGAAGGCGGCUCACUGGACUGGUAUUGACGCUGAGGUACGAAAGCGUGGGGAGCAAACAGG
rnacentral:rRNA from 1 species